GUGUUACUAGGAGUUCCCUACAAGCACUUCAUGAGACCUUGACUUAAUAAAGGGCCAUUGUGAAGUGUUUGGGUGAACUCUUAGCAUCAU
rnacentral:pre_miRNA from 1 species